CGGGAGACAGGCGGCUUUUGACAUAAUGACUUGCUCGCAUUUAUUUUUCACCAUGCUUUUCAGCACGCUUUCAAAAACUCAACACCAAGAAAACAUCUGAAAAGAGGCCAUAACUAGAUCACUACUUUCACCCUGUUCACGUUCAAAGUUCAAGUUCACGCACUCCGCGUGUGUGUGUGUGUGUGUGUCACAGGUUCCGAAAGCUAUGCCACACUCUCUCACUCUCUGGUUACAACAGAUCCUGAAAGCACAAAGAAAUGCACAUAAGUAGACUGGCAGUAAUAAGACACAGUGUACUGAUAAACUAGAGAGAGACAGACUUAUUCUCUUCCUCAAUAAGCUCAUUCUGAACAAGAAAAAUGUCAAGGACAUAAUGGACUCAAAUGGUGUACGUAUCCU
ensembl:lncRNA